UCAUCUCUUGCCAUGAGUAGCUUCAUGUAGCUUGGUCAUGCAUCAUGCUUGUUGUGCAUCAUGCCUUGUUCAUGUGUGGUGUGUUUACCUUUGUUGUGUGCUUCUUCUUGUUAGUUCCUGUUUCGUUGCGAUCGUGAGGAUUCGUUCGUCUACCUGUGGUUCGUCUUCGUGGCUUCAUCUUCUUCAUGGACUCGUUCUUCUUCCUUGCGGGAUUUCAGGCAAGAUGACCGCUACCAUGGAUCUCACUACUAUCAUUGCUAUGCUAGUUGCUUCGUUCUAUCGCUAUGCUGCGCUACCUAUUACCUGUUUAUCCAGCCAUCCCAUAUUGCCAUGAACCUCUAACCUUUGACACCAUUCCUAGCAAACCAGUGUUUGGCUAUGUUACCGCUUUUGCUCAGCCCCUCUUAUAGUGUUGCUAGUUGCAGGUGAAGUUGAAGAUUUCUCCAUGGUGGACAGGGUUUAUGUUGGGAUAUCACAAUAUCUCUUAUAUUAUUAAUGCAUCUAUAUACUUGGUAAAGGGUGGAAGGCUCGGCCUUAUGCCUGGUGUUUUGUUCCACUCUUGCCGCCCUAGUUUUCGUCAUACUGGUGUUAUGUUCCCGGAUUUUGCGUUCCUAACGCGGUCGGGUGAUUUAUGGGACCCCCCUGACAGUUCGCUUUGAAUAAAACUUGUCCAGCAAGGCCCAACCUUGGUUUUACCAUUUGCCUCACCACCACCUACUUUUUCCCUUGGGAGUCGCUCUCUCGAGGGUCAUCUUUAUUAUAGCCCCCCGGGCCAAUGCUUGUCUAAGUGUUGGUCCAAACUAGAGCACCGUGCGGGACCAUUCCUUGGCAACUUGGAUUCGUCGGUACCUGUACGCUUCGCUUAUCCGGUGUUGCCCUGAGAACGAGAUAUGUGCAGCUCCUAUCGGGAUUGUCGGCGCAUCGGGCCGCUUUGCUGGUCUUGUUUUACCAUUGUCGAAAUGUCUUGUAAACCGGGAUUCCGAGACUGAUCGGGUCUUCCUGGGAGAAGGUUUAUUCCUUCGUUGAUCGCGAGAGCUUGUCAUGGGAUAAGUUGGGACACCCCUGCAGGGAUUAAACUUUCGAGAGCCGUGCCCCCGGUUAUGUGGCAGAUGGGAAUUUGUUAAUGUCCGGUUGUAGAUAACUUGACACCAGAUCCGAUUUAAAACGCAUCAACCGUGUGUGUAGCCGUGAUAGUCUCUUCUCGGCGGAGUCCGGGAAGUGAACACGGUUUCUGUGUUAUGUUUGACGUAAGUAGGUGUUCAGGAUCACCUCUUGAUCAUUGCUAGUUCACGAUCGUUCCUUUGUUUCUCUUCUCGCUCUCAUUUGCGUUGGUUAGCCACCAUACUUGCUUAGUCGCUGCUGCAACCUCACCACUUUACCCCUUCCUUUCCCAUUAAGCUUUGCUAGUCUUGAUACCCAUGGUAAUGGGAUUGCUGAGUCCUCGUGGCUCACAGAUUACUACAACAACAGUUGCAGGUACAUGUUGCGAUGAUCAUGACGCGAGAGCGAUGCUUGCUUGCGUUGAGUUUCUUCUUCUGCUUCUUCGAUCAGGGGAUAGGUUCCAGGUCGGCAGCCUGGGCUAGCAGGGUGGAUAUUGUUUGAGUUUCUGUUUAUGAUUCAUCCGUAGUCGGAUGUUGUUCUUGUAUGUUGUAUUGUUGUAUUCAUGUGGCAUUGUAUGCCUUAUGUAUGUAUCCCCAUCUAUUAUGUAAUGUUGAUGUAAUGAUAUCCACCUUGCAAAAGCGUUCCAAUAUGCGGGUCUAUCCUUGGUGGGACCUUCGAGUUCCUUUUGGAUAGGGUCGCAUAUUGGGUGUGACAAGUUGGUAAUCAGAGCCUUGACCGACCCUAGGAGCCCCCCUUGAUUGAUCGUGUAGUUUGGCCGUUGUUGAGUCUAGAAGAAAACUGUUUUCGGAGUCUAGUUAUAUCGGAGAGUAGGAAUUCUUUUUACUCCUCUGCCCCUUCGUCGCUCUGGUGAGGAAUUUUGACGUAGGUGUUUUGAACUACUCCUCUUCCCCUUCAAAUUUUUCUUUAGGAUCUCGCGGUUAGUUUUCGUUCGUUGUCCCUCCUCUUUUGUCCGGUGCAUUCCUCGUCAAGCUGAUUCGAACCUCUCUCUCUUUGGGAGAUCAAUCCUCUGCUCUUUUCGAUCGAUGUUGUUUCCCUGUCCGAAGUUGUCCUUGUUUUUCCCACCCACCCACCCUUUUUCGUCUCAGAACCGGAGUCCAUAAUCGAGUAUCCAUCCUACUCGUGCGAAGUCUUUGCUUUCGUUCCUCAAUGAUUUCAACCGGUGUUUCCUCUUCAAGAUAUUCGUCGAUUCCCCCUUCCAGUUGCCUGUGUUUUCCCNNNNNNNNNNNNNNNNNNNNNNNNNNNNNNNNNNNNNNNNNNNNNNNNNNNNNNNNNNNNNNNNNNNNNNNNNNNNNNNNNNNNNNNNNNNNNNNNNNNNNNNNNNNNNNNNNNNNNNNNNNNNNNNNNNNNNNNNNNNNNNNNNNNNNNNNNNNNNNNNNNNNNNNNNNNNNNNNNNNNNNNNNNNNNNNNNNNNNNNNNNNNNNNNNNNNNNNNNNNNNNNNNNNNNNNNNNNNNNNNNNNNNNNNNNNNNNNNNNNNNNNNNNNNNAAUUCCAUUCGUGCGGAGCCUCUUCAGGUCUUCCCUCAAUCAUUUCACCCGGUGAAUUCUCGUCUCAUUCGUCAUUCUUCAUCCCUUUCUUUUUCCGGUGCACUCAAUUCAAGUAUUCGGUGUUGAUCAUAUUCUUUUCCUCGGUUCAAGUGUUUUCCCUGCUCGUUCGCCUCUCGCCAUUCAAUCAUUCCGGAGUUCAAGACAUCUCAGGAGAUUCGUCUGUGUUCUAAUUAAUUCGAGGUUGUCACCUCAUUCAAAUAUUUCAAUCGUUCCGGUGCAUCAUCUAUCUGUUCAACAUCCCUUUCCAACGGUGUUUUUCUCUUCAGUGGGCCCUAACCCACAGGUCUUUUCCCAGGAUCUUACCUGACUCUUCUGAUUCCCUGGAGUUAUUCUCAUUUCUUUUCAAGUGUGACGUAAGAAUGGAGUUCAUCAGUCACAUGCCUUUCCAAGAUCGAUUUCAAAUCAUUUCAUUUUUGGCUCAACCUCUUUGCUUUUCAUUCUCCCGGAGUAUCUCAGUAAUUUUGGUGGCGUUCCUCGUCGUCAUUUGAAGAUCGAAGAAGUGUUUUUCCUCUAAAUCUUGUCUGUUCUCUCGAAGUUUCGUGGUUCCAGCUUCAUGUUAUCCUCUCGAAUUAUUCCAUUUGUCAGAUAUUCUUUCUUACCCAUCCGGAGUAUGUCAGGAGUUGUUUGUCCAUUUCUUUUCAUCCGGAGGCCAUCUUUUCGGAAGAUUUCUUCGUUCUAAGUUUUUCAAAUUAGUUCUCCAAUUAUUCUAUAUCCGUGCCCCUUCGUUCAUCUCAGUAUUCUUCCCGGUGAUUCAUUCUCUUUCAUCAGUCAUUUUGAAUUCUUACGGUGGUUCAUUCAAGUUUCUUUUUCUUUGUUUAUCAUAUUAAUCCAUUCGUUCUUUUCAAUCCUACCAGUGGUUCAUGAAGACCUUCUCAAGUUUGAGAUAUGUCACUUCUCAAUCCUUUUCAAGAGGAAUAAGUUGCAUGCCAAAUCCUCUCGUCACCCAUUAAAUUGGUUGAGGAUAAGCAUACAAUAAAUCUUAUUCUUAUUUCAUCCAAGUGAGUAAUUCCUUCCUUCGGAGUUUGUUCUUGAUGAAUAAAUUCUAGUUCCAAGUGUUUUCAUCUUCUCUUUUCCGGAGUUCAAAUUUCCUCGGCCAUCUCGUCGGAACCUCCGUCUAAAUCACCGCAAGGCUAAUCUUAUUCUUUCAUCCUUCAUUCUAUCUCAUCAUCCUUUUGUACCGGAGUUCUUCAUGGUGGUCCUUCAUGAUUUAAUUCAUUCUUCAAGAGUUCAUCAAGUACCAUUCCAUCCUCUCAAGUUCGUUCUAAUCCUCCCAUUUUCAGUCGGAGUGCUACCUAAAUUCUUUCAGUCUCAUUCGUUUCUUAUCUCGUUCUAACAGGAGUGAUUUCAUAGUCUAUCUCAUUCCGUGAGCUUUCCAUUCUCGUCAUUCUCGUCGUUCCUCUCUUCUUCUCGAGUGCUCUCGAUUCUUUGCUUCUUCUCUUGACUUCUUGCUUCACCUCAUCCCUUUUUCCCUUCCGUCUCGGUCCUAAGAUCUCGGGACGAGAUCUCUUGUUAGUGGAGGAGUGUUGUAACGCCCCGGAUUCGAUGCGCCAGGUGUCCGCCAGUUAUUCGCCGUCGUUGCCAUGUCAUUUGCUUGCGUGUUGCAUUUUAUCAUGUCAUCAUGUGCAUCUCAUUUUGCAUACAUGUUCAUCUCAUGCAUCCGAGCAUUUUGCCCGUUGUCCAUUUUGCAAUCCGGCACUCCUAUGUCAUCCGGCGUUCCCCUUUUGUCUUCUGUUGUGAGCGGGUGUUAAACUUUCUCGGAAUGGCCCGAGGUUUGCCAAGCGGCCUUGGUAUAGCACCGGUAGACCGCCUGUCAAGUUUCGUGCCAUUUGGAGGUCGUUUGAUACUCCAACGGUUAACCGGGUAACCGCAAAGCCCUCUUUGGUUGCAGCCCAACACCCCUUCCAAAGUGGCCCAAAACCCAUCUAACUGCCCUCCAUGCUCUCGGUCAUUCGAUCACGAUCGCGUGGCCGAAAACCGCUCCUCAUUUGGACUCUCCUAGCUCCUCCUACCUAUAAAUAUGCCCCUCCCCCGAAAUUCGCAGAUCAAAUCGCCCCUAACCCUAGCUUCGUCCUGAUCCCGCAGCCGGACAGGUCCGGACCCCGCCGGACAUGUCCGCCCGCCGCUGCCCGCCUCCAGCUCCGGCGACCGGAGCGCCCCGCACGCCUCGCCCCCGCCUGGAUCCGACCGGCCCCGUCUCCCUCCGGCCUUCCCCGACCACGUCGGCAGCCCCUCCUCGUCCAACUCCGGCGCCCGGCGCAGAUCCAAUCUGGAGGUUGACUUUCUUCCUCCCCCCGAAAUGCCUAAGUCCCCGUUUAUUUUGCAUAAUCAUGCCAUGUUUGACCUGCCGUAUCUCUGCAUCCGUAGCUCCGUUUCAUGCGUAUAAUAUGUCAAAUUGUUCGACUCGACGAGUACUUCAUUUCAUUCCAUUGCAUCAUUUCCAUUUGAGCUCAUCUUGAUGCCCGAAAUGCUGUUGGAAGAGUGCAUGUUGAUGUUAAUCUGCUGAAAUUGUUAUAACUUGCUCAUUUGUCAUUUUUGCCAUGAUUGAUGUGUGCAUCCUAUGAGGUUGAUGUCUUCAUGUGUUUUGAUCUAUGCCAUGCCAUCUUUCCAGGGGUGUAUGCCAUCUAUUUUUGUGAUCAAUGUGGUGACUAGCACAAGCAUGCAAACUAGGCUUCGUGAUAUUGCUGAUUUUAGUCCCUGUUCUGCUGUUAUUUUGAUGCCAUGUAAACUUGAUGCUACAGAGAGAUCCAUGCAUAUUUAGAGAUACUUCAGUAAGGGUGUUUUGAACAUAUGGUUAUUGUCUAUCUAUUCAUGCCCUUGUUUGCAAUUAUGGAGUAGUCUAGCAUGUCAUUUGAGUGAUCUACUUUUUCUUCAAAAUAUUUCCUGGCAGAUUGUUUACUUGUUAUUCAAUUUGGCCAAGCUUGCUAUAGUUAAUCCUUGCAUGCUAUGGACUUGUUCUUGACUUGGUUGGUUACACAAACAUGUCUUCUUGAUGAUGCUAUGCUUUUCUUGCCAUGCAAUGACUUGUGGUGAGUGAAUCGAGCUUGUUAAGUAGUGUACUUGUUGUUGCUGUUUUACUAGACAGAUUCUGUUAUAUUUUGUUGCUAUGUUAACAUGCUUCUAGUAAUCAUUCUAUGCAUAAUCUGGAGAUGUUCUAUAAACAUGUUUUGAUCUACAUGUCAUGCUCUUUCAAUCCAUGCCCCUGGUUGCAUUUAUAGCUUGUUGUAGAUUGUUCAUAUCUUGCUCCAAAGUUGCUUGAUGAUGUUGGUGUCAGUCUGUUAACAUUAAGUUCACUUGUUCCCAUGUGUUUUCCUAGUGAUCCUUGAAUCCUAUGACCUUGCUCUUGACAUGCUUAGCUUCAUAAACAUGCCUUAUUACUGUUGGGUGCCUUGCCAUGCCAUGUAUUGCUCUGUGGUGAGUGGUUCAAGCUCACCAACAUGCCUACUUAUUGUUGUUCCUGCCAUGUUUGAAUCUGUCAUAAAACUUGCCAUGUUUACAUGGGUGCCAUCAUAUUUUCUGAUCCUUUUUGACUCUUGGUCAGUAAGGGAAUUUUGAUCUAUGCUAUUAGUAGAUUCAUGCCAUGCCAUUAUUUGCCAUGAUAUGUUCCUGUAACAUGUUGUUUGCUUGCUCUAAACAUUGCAACCUGAUGUUAUUUCCUGAUAAGUCUAAAACUGUUAUUAUUUGCAAUCUUCCCAUGUCUUUUUGAGAAUGUUCUAGUUGUUUCUGGAGAUAGCUCAGUGUUCAUGUUUUGUAGUGCCUUACCAGUACUUCAUGCCCAUGCCUUUUGUUAUUAUGUUGGGGUGCUGUAGCAUGUUGUUUUGAUGCUUGCAAUAUGCCUAGUUGCUGUUUUGGACAGAUUGUUGCUAUGACUUGUAUAGAGUGUAUGUGUUGCACCGUUGCUCCGUUUUGAGUGUGCUCUAUAUGAAACUUGCUUGAUUUUGCAUGUAGCUUCAUAUUACCAUGUUGCAUCCUUGUUUUGGUGUGUUUGCUUGAUGUUUGGGUGCAUUUUGAAUCAAUGCCAUGCUUAACUUGUUUUGCUCAUAUCUUCUAGACCGUAGCUCCGAAUCUAAUGAACUUUAUAUGUAACUUGACUAGAAUCUCGUGUAGAUCAUCUUGGUGCAUCUUAACUUGCUGUUUAACAACUUGAGCAUAAGUUUUAUUCAGUUCUGGACCAAUUUCGAAAUUUGCAUAUGAGAAUUUACCGGAAUUGUUAUAUGUUGUUCCCGGCCUCAUUUAAACUUGCCUUGAUGUGUUGUUCUUGUUUGCAUCAUCUCUUGCCAUGAGUAGCUUCAUGUAGCUUGGUCAUGCAUCAUGCUUGUUGUGCAUCAUGCCUUGUUCAUGCGUGGUGUGUUUACCUAUGUUGUGUGCUUCUUCUUGUUAGUUCCUGUUUCGUUGCGAUCGUGAGGAUUCGUUCGUCUACGUGUGGUUCGUCUUCGUGGCUUCAUCUUCUUCAUGGACUCGUUCUUCUUCCUUGCGGGAUUUCAGGCAAGAUG
rnacentral:lncRNA from 1 species